rnacentral:rRNA from 1 species
GGGGAGUACGGUCGCAAGACCGAAACUCAAAGGAAUUGACGGGGGCCUGCACAAGUGGUGGAGCAUGUGGUUUAAUUCGAUACAACGCGCAAAACCUUACCAGCACUUGACAUAUGAACAACAAAACCUGUCCUUAACAGGAUGGUACUGACUUUCAUACAGGUGCUGCAUGGUUGUCGUCAGUUCGUGUCGUGAGAUGUGUGGUCAAGUCCUAUAACGAGCGAAACCCACGUUUUGUGUUGCCGAGACAUGCGCCUAAGGAGAAAUUGCCACCGAGUGACGUGCCAGCACUACUACUUGAUUGAGUGCCAGCACGUAGCUGUGCUUUCAGCAAGAAUUUCACCAUUGGGAGCCGGUGCCUUUCGAAGCACUUUCACGUGUGAACCGAAGUCGUCUUGCCCAAGACCCACGGAGACCUACCUAUAGUGACGUCAAAGUACCAGUGAGCAUGUAGGUUCGGUUGAAAUUGGUUACGACGAUGUCGAGUUGGCGGCGGAGGAAGACUCGGCAUGAAGGCCAGAAAAUGGUGUGGAACGUAGUGGUAAUAGUACGCGCCCCGCUCCGAAACAAAGAAAAAGGUGCGUGCCGCACUCACGAGGGACUGCCAGUGAGAUACUGGAGGAAGGUGGGGAUGAUGUCAAGUCCGCAUGGCCCUUAUGGGCUGGGCCACACACGUGCUACAAUGGCAAUGACAAUGGGAAGCAAGGCUGUAAGGCAGAGCGAAUCCGGAAAGAUUGCCUCAGUUCGGAUUGUUCUCUGCAACUCGGGAACAUGAAGUUGAAAUAGCUAGUAAUCGCGGAUCAGCAUGCCACGGUGAAUAUGUACCCAGGCCCUGUACACACCGCCCGUCACACCCUGGGAAUUGGUUUCGCCCGAAGCAUCAGACCAAUGAUCACCCAUGACUUCUAUGUACCACUAGUGCCACAAAGGCCUUUGGUGGUCUUAUUGGCGCAUACCAUGGUGGGGUCUUCGACUAGGGUGAAGUCGUAACAAGGUAGCCGUAGGGGAACCUGUGGCUG